rnacentral:lncRNA from 1 species
GGGGGAGGGGUGCGUGCCGGAGGGUGGGCAUGGAGGAGGAUCUGAAUGCUCACGGUGAGAAAUUGACAUCUGACACAUAAGGGCACUUGGGACUCACUCCGGUCUUCGGGAGUGGGGAUGUUACAGGAUCAAAACCAGGGACCAGAAACGCCAUUCUGGCAGCUGUGCCAAUGGAUGGCUGGGGCAGGGGAGCAGCAGAGGGAGGAGGCUGGAGACAGGGAGGCAGGGAGGCUGCCCUCGCUUGUUCCAGCCAGAAGACACUUCACUGAUCUCUGCCUGGGGAGGCUGGGCUUGCACGGAGGCUGUGACAGCGCACAUUUGAGAGGAAAGCCCCCUGGAUGGCUGCAACAUCUCAGCAACUUCAGGGCUGACCCUGCCAGGCUUUGAGGACACAAAGCUCCGUAAGACACAGAUGUGUGUGUUUCCAGUGAAGGAGGCAGGCAUCGAAAGAAAAGCUGGUAAUAUCAUGUGAUAAAUGCUGAACAGCCUGCGAAGAGACCUAGAGGAAGUGCUAAUUACCUGUCUGAGAGCAUAAGAGGUAGGUAUUCAACAGGCCAGAGAAGAAAGAGGACUCCUGGCUGAGGACACAGGCUG